UCCCAUAUCUUUCCUCCCUUUCUCCUCUCUAACUGUCGUCGUCUGUCUCCAUCCAAUAGCGAGUGGCGACUCAUCCACCAAACGAUGUAGCUGUGUAAGACGAUCCAACAUAAUCUCCACCACCAAGUGGUUGAUUGUAAUUUCUCACAGCCACACCAUCUUGAUUAUCACUAGAUCUCUCGGUCUUCCUAGCCAGAAACCAACAUUAGUUUAAGAUUCUGAACACGAUUGUGCUGUGUUAGAGCAUCAAUCUAUUUACAUACACAAAAUGCCGCAGCGGCCAGCAUUCCCCAGUGGUCUACCCAACAUGUUUAAACCCUUUGUGCUUUUGUUGAAUCUAGUAGUUCAAUUUCUUGUGCUUCUUUGGUUCCUCUGCGUUAAUAUAUCUGCUCCUGAUGUUUUUCUAGUUCAGGUCAGCUUUCAUUUUUGAUGGAUAUAUUGCUUAAAGGCUAGUAAGACAUUAUAAUUCAAUGACAUGGAAAGGAAUCUUUUUAUAACCUGGAAAUUAUUUCUUUGCUUCAGCGUGUUUUGAUUUUUAUCAAUAGUUGGCUAUUAUCAAAUUAAACCUUAAAAACUCAGUUGUCAUGUGUUUGAAUUUUUAUGUAUACUGUAAAAGAAUAGAAUGUCAACUUCCCUUUUGUUUAUGGUUUUUCAUAUCAAAAUCAAAAACUUUUGAUCCUUUUUUCUUGUACAGAAUCCACCUUUUGUUCCAACCU